rnacentral:rRNA from 1 species
GAUGAACGCUGGCGGCGUGCCUAAUACAUGCAAGUCGAGCGAACAGACGAGGAGCUUGCUCCUCUGACGUUAGCGGCGGACGGGCGAGUAACACGUGGAUAACCUACCUAUAAGACUGGGAUAACUUCGGGAAACCGGAGCUAAUACCGGAUAAUAUAUUGAACCGCAUGGUUCAAUAGUGAAAGACGGUUUUGCUGUCACUUAUAGAUGGAUCCGCGCCGCAUUAGCUAGUUGGUAAGGUAACGGCUUACCAAGGCGACGAUGCGUAGCCGACCUGAGAGGGUGAUCGGCCACACUGGAACUGAGACACGGUCCAGACUCCUACGGGAGGCAGCAGUAGGGAAUCUUCCGCAAUGGGCGAAAGCCUGACGGAGCAACGCCGCGUGAGUGAUGAAGGUCUUCGGAUCGUAAAACUCUGUUAUUAGGGAAGAACAAAUGUGUAAGUAACUAUGCACGUCUUGACGGUACCUAAUCAGAAAGCCACGGCUAAGUACGUG